CCUACGGGAGGCAGCAGUGGGGAAUAUUGCACAAUGGGGGAAACCCUGAUGCAGCGACGCCGCGUGAGUGAAGAAGUAUUUCGGUACGUAAAGCUCUAUCAGCAGGGAAGAAAAUGACGGUACCUGACUAAGAAGCCCCGGCUAACUACGUGCCAGCAGCCGCGGUAAUACGUAGGGGGCAAGCGUUAUCCGGAUUUACUGGGUGUAAAGGGAGCGUAGACGGCAGCGCAAGUCUGGAGUGAAAUCCCAUGGCUUAACCAUGGAACUGCUUUGGAAACUGUGCAGCUAGAGUGCAGGAGAGGUAAGCGGAAUUCCUAGUGUAGCGGUGAAAUGCGUAGUUAUUAGGAGGAACACCAGUGGCGAAGGCGGCUUACUGGACUGUAACUGACGUUGAGGCUCGAAAGCGUGGGGAGCAAACAGGAUUAGAUACCCGAGUAGUC
rnacentral:rRNA from 1 species